AUUGAACGCUGGCGGCAUGCUUUACACAUGCAAGUCGAACGGUAACAGGUCUUCGGAUGCUGACGAGUGGCGAACGGGUGAGUAAUGCAUCGGAACGUGCCCAGUCGUGGGGGAUAACGCAGCGAAAGCUGUGCUAAUACCGCAUACGAUCUAUGGAUGAAAGCGGGGGACCGUAAGGCCUCGCGCGAUUGGAGCGGCCGAUGUCAGAUUAGCUAGUUGGUGGGGUAAAGGCCCACCAAGGCGACGAUCUGUAGCUGGUCUGAGAGGACGACCAGCCACACUGGGACUGAGACACGGCCCAGACUCCUACGGGAGGCAGCAGUGGGGAAUUUUGGACAAUGGGCGCAAGCCUGAUCCAGCAAUGCCGCGUGCAGGAAGAAGGCCUUCGGGUUGUAAACUGCUUUUGUACGGAACGAAACGGUCUGGGUUAAUACCCUGGGCUAAUGACGGUACCGUAAGAAUAAGCACCGGCUAACUACGUGCCAGCAGCCGCGGUAACAC
rnacentral:rRNA from 1 species